rnacentral:rRNA from 1 species
CUCCGAAAGUGUAUGCUAAAGUUGUUGCGGUUGAAAAGCUCGUAGUUGGAUGUAGAGCGCGCGGCGCCGGUCCGUCGCAGGGCGUGCACCGGCGUCGCGGGUUCCGCCUGUCGGCGCCGCCCGCGGUGCUCUUGACCGGGUGCCGCGGGUCGGGCCGACGAGUUUACUUUGAAAAAAUUAGAGUGUUCAAAGCAGGCCGCCCGCCUGCAUAGUGUCGCAUGGAAUAACGGAAUAGGACCUCGGUCUCGUUUCGUUGGCGUUCGCGGGAGCGAGGUAAUGAUUAAGAGGGACGGCCGGGGGCGUCCGUACUCUGCCGUCAGAGGUGAAAUUCUUGGACCGGCGGAAGACGAGCAGCUGCGAAAGCGUUCGCCAAGAACGUUUUCUUUAAUCAAGAGCGAAAGUCAGAGGUUCGAAGACGAUCAGAUACCGUCCUAGUUCUGACUAUAAACGAUGCCAACUGGCGAUCGGCGGGCGUUACCAUGACGACCUCGCCGGCAGCCUCCGGGAAACCAAAGUCUUUGGGUUCCGGGGGAAGUAUGGUUGCAAAGCUGAAACUUAAAGGAAUUGACGGAAGGGCACCACCAGGAGUGGAGCCUGCGGCUUAAUUUGACUCAACACGGGGAAACUCACCCGGCCCGGACACGGGAAGGAUUGACAGAUUGACAGCUCUUUCUUGAUU